rnacentral:lncRNA from 1 species
ACCUCGUGAUCCGCCCGCCUCGGCCUGCCAAAGUGCUGGGAUUACAGGCGUGAGCCACCGCGCCCGGCCGGGCAUCCUCUUUAAAGGUAAAACUUCAGGCGAAAUGUGUGACUCAGCACUGUCUUUGAGCAUGUAGUGUGUGCUCAGCCUGGGACCCCUCACCCCCACCAGCAGUCAUGCCAGCGGGGGACUUAACAGAAGAGGGGACUGGCCUUCCCUGGGGUUGAGCGCCCUGACCGAGGUCACACAGCUGGUGAGCAGGGAGACCGGGAUCCUGCCACCUCCGCUAGGUGCAAACCCUGUGCUGAGCCCUAAGAGCUACCACGGGAGGCCACCAUCCGCUGAGCUCCUGCUGCACUGCGGCCCGGCUCUAGCAUUUUCUAUGUCUUAACUCAGUUCCUUCUCACCCCAACCCCAUGGGGCGGUGCUGAGAUUCUCCCCGUCUUAUAGAAGGGGAAGUUAAGGCAAGGAGAGGUUAGAAGAGCCAGCAAGGGGGCCACACGGCCAGUAGGCGGCGCUGAGUGUGUUGCAGCAGGUCCCACGGAAGAAGCAAAGUUGUGGGAGCCCUACUUCCUGCGGAGCCCCUCCCCCACCUCCCUGCCAUCCACUUCCUGCUGCUGACCUAGGAUUGCUGGCAAUAAAACCGCAAGAGUGUGCAUGGAGGAGGCCCUUAACAUCCACACUGUCACUUAACUUUUACAACCUCCACAUGAUCGAUAUGACAGAUAUUUAUCCUGUUCUUCUCUCUAACAGAUGUGAGGGAGUCUUGGCCCAAAGAACUUCAGUCACUUGCCCGGGACUCACAGUGAGUUGUGGAGCCUUGAGAAGUCCAGGGUGGCCCCACGGCAAAGUGGGGGGCUCCCUGCCUUAUAAGGCACAAGGCGGAGCUCAGAGGGGGCCCAGAGUUGGCCCACACUGCUCCAGAAUCGGGGUCACACUCAGGUCUCCCAAGUCCUGGACUGUGUUCACCCUGCCCUGCUGCUCGAACUUUUCAAUAACUGCCACUUUGAGAUGGGCUGACUUGACGUACCCUCUCCUUAAAACUGUGAAAUGUUUUUUUCAAACUGAAGGAAACUCCCAGGCCCCUGCCCACUCAUGCCAACGGUGGCUCACACACAGGUGAUUCUCAAUGUCAGUCACCAUCCCUCAUUACAUCCCAGCCCUGUGAGGCAGGCAAAGUGUCAUGCCCAUUUCAUAGAUGGGGAAACUGAGGUUCAAAGAGGCCUGCUGUUUGCCCCUGGGCAUUUAGCAGUGCCUGGCAGAGCUGGGAAUCACCUGGGCUGUUGAGCGCUGUGUCUUGGGUGUAGCCCCUGAAUCGCCGUGCCAGUUUCUUUGGUUUGAGACCUUUACUGGCUCUGUAGCCUCUGACUGGCUCAGGCCUUGGACCUGGGCACCUCUCAGAUGGUUCCUCCUCAGCCCCUUCGAAGACUCCUCUCCCCUCUUCCCUGUUCCCUGGCCCAUCCUUAAAUGCUGGUGGCCCCUUCUCCUUGAGGUCUACACCCUCUGCCUUAGUUUGCUGCCCCCGCAGCACUUCUAGGGCCCUCUUGCUGAUGUGGGUUCGAGGAACUAAUAACCUUCCGAUGUCGCUGGCAGCAGGGAGGCCCCCACAGCCUGUCUAGAAAACAGUGAGGGGAAGUGUAGCACAAGGCUUCAUAUACCCCUCCCCUUUAGCCAGUAACUGUUUCCAGAAAUUCCGUUUCUAGGGAAAUAAUCUGAAAGAAACAAAGUGUUCCCUGCAUGAAGAUGUUUAUCAUAGGGUGAAGAGGAGACAACAGCCAGAUGCAACAAUAGGGAAGGGUUUUCUCCUACCUACUCCUGCGCGAGCUGGUGACCUCUGGGGCUCACUGGGUGCCGGACACUGUUCUCCAGCCUCUAUAUUAUUCGCUCCUUUAAUCCUUGUAACAACUUUUUGAAACAGGUACUAGUAACAUCCCCUUUGACAAGUGAAGAAACCGAGGCUUGGCAAGGUUAAUCAGCGUGCCCAAGGUCAGCCAGCUCCCUGAAGUCUGACUCUACCAGCCUCAACCGUUACCAGGGCGGCGAUGGUCAGCAGUCACAAUUACCAGGUAGUUGUUGGGAGAGGGUCAACGUGCUGGGCAGCAUGAGAUGCCUGUCAGGUGGGGCAGGCUGGGCUGGACUUUGCAAUGCAAAGUCCAGAAGACUGCAUGGCUCCUGGCCCUGGCUUGUCUGUGUCAUCGGCACGGGCCCCGCCACUCAGGCAGCAAUGGCAGGGGCUGCAGGAGAUCGUCAAAAUCUCGCAGAGCCUACGAUGAAGAAGACACAAGAGUUUGAGAGAGAGGAAGUCACUCGCUCCAGGUCAGCCAGCCAGCAAAUUGGGGAGGUCAGCCUUCAGAGCUCUGGCAACAGACCACUGCCAUGUCACAAAUAGCUUCCCAGCUUGCGAGAGUGUCUGGUAAGGGAUGAGUGAAUGGGGGAGACGGCAGGAAACUCAGCAGCCACAAAAGGGAGAGAUGUGCAGCCUGUUCAGGAACGAACACCAGGUGGAACAAAAGCGGGGCAGAACAAGAGCAUGUGCAUCCUCUUACCACCAUGACAUUAAGGCCAUGUCUGCACCCGGACCAAGAUGGGAAGGGAGCACAGAGCUGUGACUUCAGGGAAUAGGAAGGAUGGCAACAGACAUGGGGUUCUCUAUGACUUUCCAUUUUAUCUUCCAUUUUCACAGUAAGUUUUAAAACUCUACGUCUCCAGAUUCAGCAUGAGAAGGAGAAGUUCCUUGAAUCCUCUGGGCACUGGGGACAGCCAGUCCACCCACCCUGGGUAACAAAGGGAUGUGGUCAGUCCUCACGUGAGGAGGGACUGAGUGUCCUCCAUGGACCUGCGACGUCCCGUCUGUGAGGCCCUCGCUACUUUCUGCAAAUUUCUACAUGGAUCAGAGACAGGAGAAGCAGGCACACUGAUGGUUGUCUAGCACCACGUGCCAGUUUUUGGCAGUCGGGACCACCUCGACUUCCUGUCUCCAGGCAGGGUGGGGAGGGAAUGGUCCUUAUGCCCCAGGAGAGCCUCAAGGGCUGUGCACACCCUGCAAUGCAGGCACACCCCCUUCCACCCUCUGAAUGCUCUGCCACAAACAGCCACUGCGAGCGUAAUGAAGCCCCCAAAACAGGGAGCCCUGUGACUCACCACUGCUGCUUCAGGGACAGGGACAACUGCCAGAAUUCUUAGCUCUCUUUUACAGAUGGGGAAAUUGGGACUCAGAGAGGGAUGCGAUCUCUCCAAGCUCACACAGCCAAUCUGUGGCAGGGGAAUGAGAAAGUCUGGUCUGGUCUCCUCUCCCCAUGGCUGGGGCUCUCUCUGCAGUCCCGCCCUAUGCCCAGCCUGCACCCUCACCUGCCCCUGGCUCCUGGACUGGCAACUCAAGUCGUGACACGGACACGCUUUACCGAAUUUGCCUCCACACUUUGAGCGACUCAUUAGUAUAAAAAACACGUUCCUCACCACCCUUGCCAGAAGAUUCUUGACACAACACAGUUGGGGGGUUGGCACGCUCUCUCCGUUGUUAAGUAUUUAUAUAUAGUUAGUAUUGGAAUGGUCCCCGGACACCGAUCCAAGUCUCCCGUUUUCAGAUGGGGGGCACCAGGCUUAGGGUCAGGACCCCCCUGGAACAAUUCAGUAGCACAGCUGAGACAUAAAUCCACAGAGCCUGCCCUGAACUUUCCAGCUGCUCCUUGGCAAAUGGGCCAUGGGGAAAAAAAAUAAAUAAAGGCUGCCACUUACUAAGCAUUUGCUCUGUGCCAGGCACUUUGCAUAAAUCGGUGCUAAAUCUUAUCCUAAUUCUCUCAGGGAGGCAUUUUUAUCCCCAUUUUGCAGAUGAGCAAGCUGAGGCUCAGAGAGGGCAAGCCACCUGCCCAAGGUCACAGAGCCAGGGGCUGGAAAUGGCACACAUUUCUUCCCCCACGCCAGGGUUGGCAAAUGAUAGCCCAUAGGCAAAUUGAGCCCACCAUCUGUUUUUGUUGAAAUGGUUGAAAAAUAAUAGAAUAACAUUUCGUGACCCUGUGAAAAUGAUAUGCCGCUCAAAUUUUUGUGUUCAUAAAUAUACAGUUUUAUGAGAACACAGCCAUCUCCAUCCAUUUAUGUACGGGCUGUGGCUGCUUUCACCCUACAAGGGCAGAGUUGCAGCACUGCAACAGGGAUUGAAUGGGCUGCACAGCCUAAAAUAUUUACUAUCUGGCCCUUUGCAGGAAAAGCUUUCUAACUCCUGCCUUUUGCCGGGCUGUCUCCUGAAGGGUCUCAAAAGUAUGCAGCCCCCAUACGGUUGUGUAGGCCGUUUUCUGCACAAAAGCAUCAGGUGAAGGGGUCAAGGGCCUGCAAUCAGCCCUCCAUCUGCUUGCCAGGCUGUGCACCCUGGGGCCGGGUCCCCUGGAGGAAGGGCCUUUUCCUCACUUGUUCACCUUUCUGUGCUCCUUUUUUUUUUCUCUUUUUUCUUUUUUUUUUUGAGAUGGAGUCUUGCUCUGUCAC